GUCCAACGUGAUCCACUGUUUCUGAGGCUUCCACACAGCAUAGUAAAUAAACACUGCCAGCUGACGGACGGAGCAGACAUAAGUGUUAACCACACCUUCUCCAGAGAGGGGCCCCAUCCAAGCCCGUGGGCAGUAACUGUUUCAGAUGAUUCAGCUCUCAAGUGGGCCACACCACAGUGCCAGAAGGUGACAUGAAAUACACUUCUUCACCAUCCCCCGCUGUGAUGGUUUCCACCAUACCCCACUUCCUCUGAUGGUUGGGAGCAGUGCUAGCUCACAUUGUAAGGAAGACUUUCUGAACCCCUUUUGCCCUGCUCUUGGACACCCUGCUCUCUGGCACUAUGUUCUCUACUACCCUCUUCCUCUUAAAUACCCACUGCCCUCAUCGUCGCACCAACUGAUCUUUCAUUUACAACUUGCUAUGAAAGUAGGUCAAUGCUGGCUUCCGAAUAAUAGAACAGGGAAAGGGAAAAAUAGUCACUUGCCAGGGGAGAGACCUGGCAAACCCUGCCUUAACCAAGGGAUGGAGGUGAAUGUCCCAGCGAUGCCACGUGAUGUUCUCAACCUUCUGAGGCUAUGUGAUGGGAAGGGCCCUUCACCUCCGUGGUAUUCUUCUCCCAAACUCAUAACUCCAGUUAAACCAUGAGAAAAGCAUCAGUCAAACCCCAGCUGGGGGACAUUCUACAGGAUCCCUAGCCAGUCCCCCUCAAGACUAUCAGAGUCAUGAAAAACAAAGACUGAGAAGCUGCCAUAGAUCAGAGGAGCCUGGGUAGACAUGGCAGCUAAAUGGAGUGGGUACCAGAGGAACAGAAAGAGGACAUUAAUGGAGAAACUGGUAAAAAUUCAGGUAAAUCUGGAGUUUAGUUAGGAAUAUGCCAAUGUCAGUUUCUUAGUUUUGACAAAUGUACUAUGGGGCCAGAUGCAGUGGCUCAUGCCUAUAGUCCCAGCCCUUUGGGGGGAGGCUGAGGCAGGUGGAUCACCUGAGGUCAGGAGUUCAAGACCAGCCUGGCCAACAUGGCAAAACCACAUCUCUACUAAAAAUACAAAAAAAAAAAAAAAAAAAAAAACUAGCCAGGCGUGGUGGUGCACACCUGUAAUCCCAGCUACUUGGGAGGCUGAGUCAGGAGAAUCACUUGACCCUGGACGGCGGAGGUUGCAGUGAGCUGAGAUCACACUACUGGCACUCCAGCCUGGGCGACAGAGCGACUCCAUCUCAAAAAAAAAAAAAAAAUACUAUGGAAAUGUAAUGUACUAUAUACAGAGAUUAUCCUGGGUUUGAAAAAAAGAAAAAAAUACAAUGUACUAUGGAAAUGUAGGAUAUAAACCAUGGGAGAAACUGGGUGAGAGGCAUACAGGAACUUUCUUUUUUUUUUUUUUUUUUUGAGAUGGAGUCUUGCUCUGUAGCCCAGGCUGGAGUGCAGUGGCGUGAUCUCAGCUCACUGCAAGCUCUGCCUCCUGGGUUCACGCUACUCUCCUGCCUCAGCCUCCCAAGUAGCUGGGACUACAGGUGCCCGCCACCAUGCCCGGCUAAUUUUUUGUAUUUUUAGUAGAGACAGGGUUUCACUGUGUUAGCCAGGGUGGUCUCGAUCUCCUGACCUUGUGAUCUGCCCACCUCGGCCUCCCAAAGUGCUGGGAUUACAGGCGUGAGCCACUGCGCCCGGCCUACAGGAACUUUCUGUUCUAUCUUUACAAUAUCUCUAUAGAGGUAAAAUUAUUCCAAAAUUAAAAUUUUUAAUUUAAAAAUUGGUCUUUCUGUGAGAGGCAGGUAUCUCAGCACCUGCUCCAUGAGCCUCCUAUGGCAAACUGCCCUCCUCCAUAGCACUCAUUGCCUAGGCAAUUGUGGUUUGUACCACGAUACCUUAUCUCAUUGUUCCCCAUUCACCUGGACAAGACACACACACAGCUGAUUGAAACACAAGACAACCCAUAGGCCAGAAGGAUAACAGGAAGGAGAAGCAGAAAAAACAGAUACAGAUGUCUCAGAUCCGGACGACUUCCCAGUUGCAAGCAGUCUCACAAUAAAAUCCCAUGAAAACAAUUAGAAUUGUGCCCCUUCAACCUAAACAGACUUGACCACAGCAUCUCCUGGGAUGCUUACACCUUAGCCUUACCUUUGUCUAAGCCAUAAGAGGCUUGGUCCCUGCAACAGUUAAUUUUAUGUGUCAACUUAGCUAGGCUAUGCUACCCAGACAUUUGCUUAAACAUUAUCCUAGAUGUUUUUGUGAGGGUAUGGUUUAUACUAAUAUUUAAAUCAGUAGUCUUUGAGUAAAGCCGAUUUCCCACCAUACUGUGGGUGAGCCUUGUCUAAUCAGUUGAAGGCCUUGCUAGAGAAAAGAUUGUCCUCUGUUAGGAAAAGGGAAUUCUGCCAGCAGAACUCUACCUUUGGACUUGAAUGGCAAGUCUUCCCUGGGCCUCCAGCCUGCCAGCCUUCCCUGAAGAUUUUGGACUUGCCAAGUCUCCAUAAUCAUUUGAGCUAAUUCCUUAAAAUAAAUAUUAAUCUCUCUUCCCCCAGGAAACACACCUAUUGAUUCUGUUUUUCUGAAGAACUCUUGACUAAUACAGUUUGUGAUAAGGAAGCUGAGGCAUCAGUGCAUCAGUGGGAACUAAAAGGGUUACAUUAGGAACUUCCUAAUGCCCCUGAAGUCAAAUUCCACAGGCAGCCAUGGUUGGCCAAUUCCUUUAUAGGACAUCAAGUGUGGGGGGAAAAACUAGGUGCCACGAGGUACAGGGGAGCCUCAUCCUGGCCCAGUGACUAUGAUGUGACCUUGGGAUAGUCAUCCCACCUCUCUGAGCCUUGCAGUCUGUUCUGGAAAACAAGAGGACUGACUAAAUCAGAGCCUGAAAACACACCACGUGCUGCCUGAAGCAGACGUUGUUAAAGGAUCCCGUUUUUUUCCUACUGAAAUUCAGAAGAAUUCUAUAACACUUCUAAACCUGGGGUCCCAGAAAUACCUUACCAACCAGCCUAAAUCGGUUCAUGAGAGAAAACCCUUGUGCAACCCCAGAAUGAUUUGCUUCCUAAAGACCUCACAACUAAAAUGAAAGGAAGCCACUGAAAUUGCAGCCACAGCUGGGCAGAUUUGUCUGACAAAUGAAACUCCACCCUGGGUUGGCAGUGACCAUUCAUGCUCUCCAUCUCCAGAUCAUGAACAGCAGCCAUUGUCCUGGGUCCUCCCUCCUCCCCAGAAGGACAUGAAUCCCAGGGAACAGCAGGUGGCCCUAGGUCCUCAGGCUGCGGCUCUUCCCUGGGCUGUCUGGCGCAACGACUGCUUUCCAAGGCCUUUCCUGUAUGUGAAGAGAAGACAGCUGAAGAUGAUCAAAAUGAUCUAAACCUCCUAAAUGGCCCAAAAUAAAGUUUUCUCUGUAAUUGUUUUAAAAA